GGUUUGGUAGUUCAGUUGGUUAGAAUACCUGCCUGUCACGCAGGGGGUCGCGGGUUCGAGUCCCGUCCAGACCGCGA
rnacentral:tRNA from 1 species